UGGAAAUGUACGAUAACACACACGGUUUAUUGGAAAAUGGUAAGGAAGGACAUCGAAGCUCUGGCAAUAUGAAAUUCUAGGUGCUGCUCAGGGUGGUUUACUGAGAGCACAAAUAUGAGACUGUUCGUUUUUUUCCCACUCUUUUGUUACCCAUGUGUCACCCUGUAUGGCGUCUGGGUUUUUGCAUUCUUAAAUGGCAGUCAACUGAAGUGCAACUAAAUGCCACAUGCACUUCCAUAGUUGUUUCAUAGAUUAACAAAUAUCAAGCCUGUAUCAAAGCAAAUUCAAAUUAAAGAUGGUAAAAUAUAACAGCUAUUAUGAAACACAGCCCGUGACAUGGUGGCAUGUGGGUCAGUAGAUGUGGGCUAACAUGCUGCUGAUGUCAUAAUUCUUCUACUCAAUAAUGGGUUGGUUAUGUAGGAAGGUGCAGGGGUUGGUGUGUGAACUUCCGCUUCCGCUACAACAGUACUUUAAAGAGAGGCCUUCCAUUGGCAUUCAGAAAGGUGAAAAGAGCAGGGGUAGGGGUCAGAGACAAAUGAAGAUAAAAUUCUAAGUACAUGUUCAGUUUGGGAUCAUAGGAACAACUAAAAUGCCCAUACUAUGAGAGGAGAAACCAGUUUUGAUCCUACCUGGAGCGAAAUCUUCAAUAUCAGCCCCAUUUUCAGGAAGAAAACUGUUCAGUUAUGAGUAGGAAACUGCCUGUGAAGCAGAAAUUAAGUAUCUUUAGAUCUUAACUCCUAGAGAAACUCCCUAUUAUAGAAAGGAAGUAAAUGUUUACUUAAGAAUUCAGUGUGACAGAUGCAUUAUUUUCUUGCAAUUUAUGGGCAGUAUACUGUCAUUUUGUUUUAUUUUAAUUAGUGUAAUUGUCUUAAAUUCCCUUCUGACCUGGGCUUACCCCUAUCCUACCUCCUCCCACCCCUAGCUAACACAAGUCAGCUAAAUCCCUUAGCUAGCUUGCAGGAUCUUUUAUCUCAUAGAGUAACUAGUUAGUGUUUUGUAACAGUCACCAAUGUUAAGUGCUACCUAUGUGUCAGGCACUGGGGUAAGUACCUUCUAUUUAUAAGAACUUCAUUAUCACAUUAUCUCUUCACGGGAAGUAGGUACUACAGAUCCAUGAUCCCUUACAUAUGUCUGGAUUUCAGAAGGGUCUGAAAAU
rnacentral:lncRNA from 1 species